rnacentral:rRNA from 1 species
GGAGAAAAGCAGGGGAUCGCAAGACCUUGCGCUUUUGGAGCGGCCGAUGUCUGAUUAGCUUGUUGGUGAGGUAAAGGCUUACCAAGGCUUCGAUCAGUAGCUGGUCUGAGAGGACGGCCAGCCACACUGGGACUGAGACACGGCCCAGACUCCUACGGGAGGCAGCAGUGGGGAAUUUUGGACAAUGGGGGCAACCCUGAUCCAGCCAUGCCGCGUGAGUGAAGAAGGCCUUCGGGUUGUAAAGCUCUUUCAGCCGGAACGAAACGGUUACGGUUAAUACCCGUAACUACUGACGGUACCGGAAGAAGAAGCACCGGCUAACUACGUGCCAGCAGCCGCGGUAAUACGUAGGGUGCGAGCGUUAAUCGGAAUUACUGGGCGUAAAGCGUGCGCAGGUGGUUUUGUAAGUCAGAUGUGAAAUCCCCGGGCUUAACCUGGGAACUGCGUUUGAAACUACAAGGCUAGAGUGUGGCAGAGGGGGGUGGAAUUCCGCGUGUAGCAGUGAAAUGCGUAGAGAUGUGGAGGAACACCGAUGGCGAAGGCAGCCCCCUGGGUCAACACUGACGCUCAGGCACGAAAGCAUGGGGAGCAAACAGGAUUAGAUACCCUGGUAGUCCAUGCCCUAAACGAUGUCAACUAGUUGUCGGGUCUUAACGGGCUUGGUAACGUAGCUAACGCGUGAAGCUGACCGCCUGAGGAGUACGAUCGCAAGAUUAAAACUCAAAGGAAUUGACGGGGACCCGCACAAGCGGUGGAUUAUGUGGAUUAAUUCGAUGCAACGCGAAAAACCUUACCUACCCUUGACAUGUAUUGGAGCCCGCAGAGAUGUGGGUGUGCCCGAAAGGGAACGAUAACACAGGUGCUGCAUGGCUGUCGUCAGCUCGUGUCGUGAGAUGCUGGGUUAAGUCCCGCAACGAGCGCAACCCUUGUCAUUAAUUGCCAUCAUUUAGUUGGGCACUUUAAUGAGACUGCCGGUGACAAACCGGAGGAAGGUGGGGAUGACGUCAAGUCCUCAUGGCCCUUAUGGGUAGGGCUUCACACGUAAUACAAUGGCG